UUCGCCCUUGAGUUUGAUCAUGGCUCAGAUUGAACGCUGGCGGCAGGCCUAACACCUGCAAGUCGAGCGGCAGCACGGGUACUUGUACCUGGUGGCCAGCGGCGGACGGGUGAGUAAUGCCUAGGAAUCUGCCUGGUAGUGGGGGAUAACGCUCGGAAACGGACGCUAAUACCGCAUACGUCCUACGGGAGAAAGCAGGGGACCUUCGGGCCUUGCGCUAUCAGAUGAGCCUAGGUCGGAUUAGCUAGUUGGUGAGGUAAUGGCUCACCAAGGCGACGAUCCGUAACUGGUCUGAGAGGAUGAUCAGUCACACUGGAACUGAGACACGGUCCAGACUCCUACGGGAGGCAGCAGUGGGGAAUAUUGGACAAUGGGCGAAAGCCUGAUCCAGCCUUUUUUUUUUGUGUGAAGAAGGUCUUCGGAUUGUAAAGUACUUUAAGUUGGGAGGAAGGGCAGUUACCUAAUACGUAUCUGUUUUGACGUUACCGACAGAAUAAGCACCGGCUAACUCUGUGCCAGCAGCCGCGGUA
rnacentral:rRNA from 1 species